rnacentral:tRNA from 1 species
AGCUCAGCUGGGAGAGCGCUUGCCUUACAAGCAAGAUGUCAGCAGUUCGAUCCUGUUA